UAGGGAAUCUUCCACAAUGGACGCAAGUCUGAUGGAGCAACGCCGCGUGAGUGAAGAAGGUUUUCGGAUCGUAAAGCUCUGUUGUUGGUGAAGAAGGAUAGAGGCAGUAACUGGUCUUUAUUUGACGGUAAUCAACCAGAAAGUCACGGCUCACUACGUGCCAGCAGCCGCGGUAAUACGUAGGUGGCAAGCGUUUUCCGGAUUUAUUGGGUGUAAAGCGAGCGCAGGCGGAAUGAUAAGUCUGAUGUGAAGGCCCACGGCUCAACCGUAGAACGGCAUCGGAAACUGUCAUUCUUAAGUGCAGAAGAGGAGAGUGGAAUUCCAUGUGUAGCGGUGGAAUGCGUAGAUAUAUGGAAGAACACCAGUGGCGAAGGCGGCUCUCUGGUCUGCAACUGACGCUGAGGCUCGAAAGCAUGGGUAGCGAACAGG
rnacentral:rRNA from 1 species